rnacentral:rRNA from 1 species
GACGAACGCUGGCGGCGUGCUUAACACAUGCAAGUCGAACGGAAAGGCCCUGCUUUUGUGGGGUGCUCGAGUGGCGAACGGGUGAGAAACACGUGAGUAACCUGCCCUUGACUUUGGGAUAACUUCAGGAAACUGGGGCUAAUACCGGAUAGGAGCUCCUGCUGCAUGGUGGGGGUUGGAAAGUUUCGGCGGUUGGGGAUGGACUCGCGGCUUAUCAGCUUGUUGGUGGGGUAGUGGCUUACCAAGGCUUUGACGGGUAGCCGGCCUGAGAGGGUGACCGGCCACAUUGGGACUGAGAUACGGCCCAGACUCCUACGGGAGGCAGCAGUGGGGAAUAUUGCACAAUGGGCGGAAGCCUGAUGCAGCAACGCCGCGUGCGGGAUGACGGCCUUCGGGUUGUAAACCGCUUUCGCCUGUGACGAAGCGUGAGUGACGGUAAUGGGUAAAGAAGCACCGGCUAACUACGUG